UACGUAGGGGGCAAGCGUUGUCCGGAAUUAUUGGGCGUAAAGAGCGCGUAGGCGGUCCGGUAAGUCAGCUGUGAAAGUCAAGGGCUCAACCCUUGAAAGCCGGUUGAUACUGUCGGGCUAGAGUCCGGAAGAGGCGAGUGGAAUUCCCGGUGUAGCGGUGAAAUGCGCAGAUAUCGGGAGGAACACCAAUGGCGAAGGCAGCUCGCUGGGACGGUACUGACGCUGAGGAGCGAAAGCCAGGGGAGCAAACGGG
rnacentral:rRNA from 1 species